GCCAGCGACCCCGCGACCCCGCGACCCCGCUGGUGGCACCACUUUGGCGCCUAGGCCUCCACCGACGGCGCAGAUAAAGGCCCCUAGGCUGCGGAAAUGGCGGCGGGGAGUAGCCAAGCCCAGGAGACCCCGCUCAGAUACCUAGCAUUUGGACUGUCUGAGAGUGAAAACCCAGAGGAAGAUAGUUGGUGGCAGAACUACUGACAAUGAAACCAGUGGAAUCAGUGACAUUCAAUGAUGUAGCUAUCAACUGUACCAAGGAAGAGUGGGCCAUGCUGGACACAAACCAGAGAAAGAUGUUCAGAGAUGUUAUGCUGGAGAAUAUCAGUCAUCUGGUGUUCAUGGAUAUCAGGUCUGCAUAUCAGAAGUGCUUUCACAGUUAGACCAAGGAGAACUGUGGAGAGAAGGAUUAAGGUUUCUCCAAGUACAGAAUCCAGGUGAGUUCUAAGACUCUGUGCUUCACUAUGAUGAGGGGCAUUGUCACUGAAUGAGCAGGUCCUUAGACGUAUCAACAGAAGAUUUCCUGAACUGAAUGAUAUUCUCUGAAAUGUAAGAUAUGAAUUUGGGGGAAAAUCACCUCCAAUGUGUAAUUUUUCCAUACAUGUAUCAAUUUCUAUUCAUGAAUCCAUCUGUGAUUGUCUUUCACUUAGGGAAAGGCUAUUUGUGUACUUACAGGAGUUAAAUUCUCACAUAAUGGACUGUGUUCUGGUCCUCCUGUUUGAGGAUUUCCCUCUCUUUACCACUGAAUAUCCCAUUUUAUCUUAUUUUCCCUUACUUUAAUGCUGAAUAUAUUUUAUUUCUCAAUUUCCAGAAAAGUGUUUCUAUCUCCUAAAGUACACCUUAAUUUUACAUUGUUGUCCAAUCUAAAUAACAAUAUUUGAAAAAUAAUCACAUGAUAAUUGAGGGUUUUUAAAUAUUUCAUUCUGCUUAUGCCACUCUAUAAUGCUUUCAAAAUUGUUCCAGGCAGGGAAAAUGACCAUAAAAAAGAAGAAAUGAUAACCAUGCAACAUAUGUUUAAGGACACAUCUACCAGCCAGACAAAUAUUGCCAAGUGGCAGGAGGAUCUCUGAACAGCAAAGUUUUCCAGGGGUAAUUAGAAUACUGCACAGGUGAUCCCAUCCCACAAAUAUAAAAGAAAAUAUCAUUUAUUUUCAUGCAUAGGUAAAGAAUGCAUUUUCAAUAUAAAGAAUUGGCAUAAUUUUCCAUUUAUGUUUUUAAUCCACAUAUCCAUACAAAACAGUAUACUUAAGUCAAUAUUUCAAAAUAUUUAGGGGUGAAUUAUGCACAGAAAUGGCUAGAAGCUGUGUUUAUGAAUUGCAGAAAAAUGCUUAUAUUUUCUUUCAAAACAUGGUAUUAGCAAUCCCUAGAAUUACACCUGAAGUAUAAGGACUCAUGUAUAUAUCUUAUUUUCAUGACCAGGAUUCACUUAUUUACUUUGUACUACCUGGAUAUGUAACAUAGAGGUUAGCAAAGAGAAGAUAAUAGGCAAAUAUUUGUGGUAUUAUUAAUUAAAUAGCAAUGACAAUAAAAUAUGCAAUUUGUAAGAUAAAUGUUGCCAAACAAAAUUAAAUGUAUUUAAAUAUUUAAAUUAGUAUCCUUCAUAUUGAAACUUUGGGCAGCAAGAGGAGCCCCCCAAUUUUGCUGGCAUCAUUUCUACUAGGCACUGUAAUCCAAUCACUCUGAACUUUCAUUAACAAUUAUCAAUUGUGUUUAAAAUUGCUGGGACUGAGUUUUUCAAUUCAAUUAAUAAUAAAUUAAUACAUUGGCUUACUCUAAUUCUGUAACAUCCCUAUCAGCAUUUUCUAUUCAAAUUUUAUUAAAAAAUAGCAGAGCAGGAGAGAGUUGGAGUGAUUCAUGAAGAGGGGUAAAGAGGAGGAAAAGAAGAAAACAGUAACAUCAAACACUUACAAGUGAAUACUGUCUUUUACACUGGAGAGGAAAGGCAGGGUUUCUGGUAAGGAUCCAGUCAUGUUUCAAGUGCAGGCAAUGGUGAGUGGGAACCUGAGAUGAUUAAGACUGUGGCAGUAAUCAUUCUGUUUUAUAACCAGGCCAUCUUUGUUCAGUUUUAGUUAACAAUGUAGGGAAGAAAUGGAACUAGAGAAAAUCUCUUGGUAUGUAAACCUUGGCAUAAAAAUAUAGCACUGUUGCAAUUUGAAAUAGCUAAUUGCCUUGAGAUGGCUCUAGGAAAGCAAAUAUCUUCCAUGAUUCUUAGAAAUUCCAAUUACAUUUCUGUCAUUGAUUUAUAGUUUAAUUCAGCUAUGCUAAGACAACAUAGUCAGUAUGAUUUUAACAACUGGAUCAUGUUGAUUUUUGGCUUAGUAAAUGGUCUUUUUAUAUAUGUCAAAAAUGUACUUGAAAAAAAUUAUGUACCCAGAGAGCAAUAAUCUGUAUGUCCUAUUUAAGACAAGUUAGCCCAUUGUGUCAUUCAAGUUUUGUGUAUAAUAAUUAGAUUAUAUUCAUAUCUCCAACUAUGGUAUACAAAUUUUAAAAAUUUUCCUUUGUGAUAUGUCAUUUCUUGCAAUAUGUUUGCAGUUAUGUCAUAAGUGCAUACAAAUUUGUAAUUGUUAAAUCAUCCUAUUAAGGCAACUUCCUUAUGAAGAAAAAUCUCUUUUUAUAUGGAGUCAUACUUCCUACAUCUGGUCUACAUUUUUUUACUAGAAUUCAGCCGUAUAGCUUGAAUGACUUGUUUUUUGGUGGGGGGGGGGUUGUUUUGCAUUAUAUAUUCUGCCAUCUUGUUUAAAAUUUUAUUUUUGAUGUGUAUUUUUCUGCUUAUUUUAAGUAUUGUUACUUAUCAAGAGCUUAUAGUUGGGUAUUUUAGUUUUUCAUUUCAAUUGACAAACUUUGUGUUAUAAUUGGGUCAUUUAGUUCAUUUAAAUUUAAUGUCAUUAGUAGCACAUGUUGAAUUUCUGUCUACUCCCAUGCUUUUGGUUUGCUAUUUGUCCCUUUUCUGUGUCCAGUAUUUCUUCUAUUGAGUUAAUGAAUUGCAUUUUUCCUUUUUUACCAUCUAGUAGAUUUUCAGUUAUAAAAUCUUAUCUCAAUAAUUUUAGAUUAUUACCCUAGAGAUUUCAAAAUUGAUCUUCAGCUUAUUACAUUCUAUUUUGUUUCCAUCAUUAGUUGACAGAUCACUCAUAUGAACAAUUAUCCAAAUAAAUAUCUGGAUAUUGUUCCACAUGGCCCUGGAUUUAUUUUACAGGUGAUUGUUUAUAAAUAUGCAUUUAGAUGACAUAUAAAAAUAAAUUUCAUGAUUGCUAUGUCACUGUCACAGUUCUGAGAACUCAAGAGUAAUUUUGUUUCAUUCUAUUCAAACUUACCCACAGAGGGCUUCCCCUCCCUCAACACCCCCAUACAGAACAUGGCAAAUAAUUGUGGUUAAUCUGGCUGCCUCUAGAGCCAAAAAGCCCAUGCUUCUAGGCAGGAUCUACAACUUAAGGAUUGUGUGCACUUUAGCAAGUUAUAUUUUCUUGACUUCCUGAACCCACAUGUUUACCCUUUCAUUGUCCUUCAUUCCUUGCUACAUCCAGUGUAUCCAUCUGUAAUGAUUUCCAUCAGUCUGAAAACCAUCUGUUAACAUUUUUUGUACCAUCCAGUUGAUGGCCUUGAACUUUCUCUGCUUUAGUUUGUCUGAAUAUAUAUUUCUUUGCUCUUUGUUUAAUACUUCCAUAAUUAUCCAUUUUUUUGAUGUCAGACACUAACUAUUAUGAACACUCAUUAUCCAUAUAAAUAGAAUCAUACAGUAUGUAUUCUUUUAUAGUUGACUUCUUUUCAGGUAUAUAUAUAUAAUUUUUGGCUGGGGGUGAUUUGUUUUGCCAGGAGUGUUCCACCUGAUUUAUUGCCCAUAUUGUAGAUAUUCAUUCUCCCAAUAUUUGACAUUGUGUUUAUUACCAUGUUUUAGUUAUUGCAAAAAAUAAAUUUCCUUUAAAAUUGCUAUACUUGAGUUGGUGGACCUAGACACUCAUUUUUCUUGAGCAUGUAGGAGAUGAAUUGCUGGAUCAAAAAUAGAUGCAUGUUGACAAUUGGAUAGUGAGAAGCAGAAGAGCAAGCACCAAGACUCAGUCCUCCCAGCAUAACAACUAUUAUGCAGGUAGAACCUGUCUGAAACAGCUAUUUUGAAUCUCCACAAAUGAGAGGAAUACUUCACAGCAUCCAGGGAAGACCAGGAGUAAGACUCUGACAAAUUGCAGUAAAGAACAGAAAAUUGCUCUCAUUUCAAGGUGUUUACUGUCACACAUGUCACACUCUUGCUGCACUCCACAAUGGUUCCAACCCUUGAAAAGCUUGCUGGUGACAUAAAAGGAUGUGAAAAUCUGCCAAGACCAAAUGAGAGCACAUCUAAGCAGUGAUCACAGCUUUUGAUAAAUGGCUUUUGAUUGCUGGGGCCCCACUCUAAAUGUUGCCAUUGAUUCAAACCACCCACAAAUGCAGUGGUGGCAGCCAUUUUUUUCAAACUAUCCUGAGUGGUAGAGGUCAACUCAAGACACUUGUCUUCCACAGGUCUGCAUGAGAUAGAUGAAGGAAUGAAUUUUAUGGGCAAGCCAAGAGAGCUCAGCUUUGAAAAGCUGUGCAGAAAGAUCUUGAUGACUUAUCUGGUCCUCUACCUAGGGCAUUUUGAAGCCAGUCUGUACAGUUGACAUGGUUGACUGGCCCUGAUUCAGUAGAAAAGACAGACUUGUAAAUGCCCUCUUCAUCAUAUCCCUCAACUCAGAAUUUGCCUUUCAGACAAUAGCAACUUGAGGCAAUUAAAGACAUGUAAGAAUUAUAAAAGCAGUGAUAUAGGAGCAAUGGCUUGUGGGCUUCAAACACCCAUGAGCAUGAUGUCUGUCUCCUAGGAAACAGGGGACAAACUUCUGAAAAUAGGUAAACUCAAAAACAGCUAAGAAGAAAAAGCACAGGACCAGAUGCAGGCACAGAAUGACAAGGGGAAACAUGCACACUGCAUUCAUUUUCUGUAGGCAUCCCUGAUAGGGGGGAUGAUGUUCAAUAAAAUCUCUGUCUUAUCAUCAGGUGGUUACAAAACCAAGAAACAUACAUCUUCAGGGAAUAAAUACUAGAAUUAACCUAUUAAAAUGCACAGUGUGCAAUGAGUGCAAGACAAAGAAACAGGAAAUUAUGGCCCAUCCAAAGGAAAAGGAUGAAAAUUCAACAACAAGGAAGAAUGCCAGAAUGUGGGCAUGACAAAUAAAUUCUUUAAAAAUGAUCUUAAAAUGCUCAAGAUGAAGGACAAUACAGAGAAAGAACUAAAGGAUAUAAGGGAAACAAUGAAUGAGCAAAUGAGAACCUUAGUAAAGAUACAGAAAUUUUAAAAGGAAUUAACAGAACUACUGGAGUUGAAGACCAUAACAACAAAAAUAAAAAGUGUCCAAAAACGUUUCAAGGACGGAUUGGUGCUGGCCAAAGAAAGAAUCUGAACAUAAUAACAAGACAAUUGAAAUAAAUAGGAUUGAGCAACAAAUAGAAGAAUUAUGAGAAGUGAGAAUAACUUAAGAGAUUUUCAAAUUUACCAAUGUAUGCAUUACAGGAUUUCCAAAAGGAGAAGAAAGAAAGAAGAAGGAAUAGUCAAAGAAAUGACAGAGAACUUCCCAAGCUUAUUAAAAUAUAUGAAUAUACACACUCAAUGAGCUGAGAAACACCAAACAUCAGAAGCAUUUAGAAAAAUAAACCAUUUCAUUUAUUGAUCACAUUACUGAACACAAAGUACAAGGAGAGACUUCUGAAAGCUCUGAGAAAAAAGUAAUGACUUAUGUAUGAGGAAUCCCCAAUAAUGUUGAGUGCUGAUUUCCUAUCAGAAAUAAUGAAGGAAAAAAGACAGUGGGUUGAAAUACUUAUUGUGCUUUAAGAAAACAGUUGCCAACCAAGAAUUAUAUAUCAGGUGAAACUUUCUUUCAAAAAUGACAGAGACUUCAGGGUCAAGAUGGCAACAGGAACAGGCAAACAAACUGCUGAGUACUGGCUCCACAGAGCUGUGGUCUAUCCAGUAGACCCUGUGUUUGGCAUCUUCUGUCAUGAGGAGUGGAGAUCAAAGUUGGGCAUCAGUUAACAGAGCAAUCAAGCCUUUUGCAGAACCUGGUCACCCUCCAGACUAGUUCUCUCAAAAACAUUUGCUUCUAAAUACUCAGACUUCAAGAGACCACUGAGACCCCAAAAUGGAAAUGCAGUGUAAAAGAGGAAGCUGUGGAAAUUGUUGAUGUCAUUGUUCAGAAACUGAUGGCUGAACAAGUUGAGAGUUAAAGUAAUAAAGGAAACCCAGGAAAAGUAUAGAUGACUGAAAAGAGAUGCAGAACUAAUUCAAGUUGGGCACAUAGAUAGCAGACUGGAUGAACUUUGUAAUGACAUUGCAAUGAAAAAGAAAUUGGAGGAAGAGGAGGCUGAAGUAAAGAGGAAGGCUACAGAUGCUACAUAUCAGGCUCUUCAAGCAGUAAAGUCACCCCCUUGGAGGUUACUGACUGUGAUCAUUUGCCUGUAAUUUCUGCCUCUCCAGGAGGUGAUUAUCCACUUGGGGACUUGACUCCCACCCCUAUGGAAUAGGCCACCUCUGGGGUAAACAAUGGGACUUUGCUGAGUACCCAAGUCACCUAAUUUCUUGGGAUUCCUGACAUCCUUCCUCCAAGCUCUCCACUCUUAGAGGUCCCCAUGACUCAAGUAACAGAUGAUUCACCCCAGAAAAAUAUGCUUGGACAGAAAUGAAGUCCACAAAUACAAUAAUUGGUGUCCCAGGAGAAGAAGAGAAAAGUAAAGUGCUAGGAGGAAUAUUUGAGGAUAAAAUUGGGAACUCUUCCCACCUUACAAAAGAGAUAAAUAUACAAAGAAGAAACCUAACAAACUCCAAAUAGAUUAAAUCCAAAUAGAACCACUCUGAGGCAUAUACUAAUCAGAUUGCCAAAUGUUGAAGAGAAGAGGAAAGUUCUGAAAACAAGACAGAAGUGGUUCACCACAUAAAAGGCAAAUCAUGUAAAAUUAAGUAUUGCUACUGAACAGGCACCAUGUAGGUGAAAAGGCAAAGGUAUGACAUAUUUAAAAUUCUGAAAAAGCAGAAAUUGCCAGCAAAGAAUACAUUAUCCAGCAAAGCUGUACUUUAAAAGUGAGGGAGAGUUUAAAAUUUUCACAGACAAACACAUGCUGAGAGAAUUUGUUGACAAGAGACCUGCCCUGCAAGAAAUACUAAAUAGAGUUCUGCCCACUGAGAAAAAAGUCAGGAUAAAGAGAUCUGGAGAAAGGUACACAACAUAAAAAUAUUAGAAAGCAUAACUUAAAGGAAAAAAAGAGAGAGGAAGGAAAAACAGAACUAAAAUAAGGAUAAGUUGAUUAGUUCAAGAACUGCCUUCACAGUAAUGAAUUUGAAUAGGAAUGGAUUAAACUCUCCAAUUAAAAGAUAUAGACUGACUAAAUGGAUUAAAAAGUAUGGUCCAUUGAUGUGCUGUUUACAAGAGACUCAUCCUAGUCCUAGUGGCACAAAGAGAUUGAAUGUGAAAGGAAGGAAAAAAUAUUCCACAGACUCUGUAACAAAAGAAAAUGGGUAGCCAUAGAAAUAUUGGAUGAAAUAGGUUUUAAAUGCAAAAUCAAUAUGAUAAAUGAAUUACACUUAAUAUAUAUGUGUGUAUAUAUAUAUAUAUAUAUAUAUAUAUAUAUAUAUAUAAAGAAAUAUAUGAUUGCUUUCAAAAUAAGAGUAUAUAUUUUCUCUAGUGCUCAUGGAAUGUUCUCCAUGAAAUAUCAAAUGUUGGGUCACAAAACAAGUCUCAAUUUAAAAUGACUGAAAUCAUUCAAACCACAUUCUCUUACCAUAAUGGAAUGCAGCUUGAAAUCAAUAACAACCAAAGAACAAGAACUUUCAAACAUAUAUAGAGGUAAGGUGUAAAUCUCCCAUGCAACAUUGGACAUGACUCCUAGGGAUAAGUCUGGAUCUGACAAAAGAGAUGAAGCAUAUAAUGAAAACACUGGACAUACAUAAAGUAUAAAUUGAAAGUUCAAAAAAGCAAAAGGCAGAAUCCAUGGA